rnacentral:lncRNA from 1 species
GUUCAAUGCAGUAAUAAUAUCAAGUCAAAAACGAAAGUAGAAUUCUCAGUUCAAUUCAUAGAAAUAAACAAUUACAGUUCGUAUUUGUUGAAUAAACGUGGAAUCCAAGUUAACGGAAUUAACGGUAUAUAUAUUUAACAGUUUAUAAUUGAUUUGAAACGUACUUGACGGUGAUUUGUCACAAUAUCCACAGGAGUCGUUUUGUCGUGGCAUCCAUUUGCAAUAGACAGGUGAGGAAGAGAAAGUAAGCACUAGUGAAAAUACGGACAAGUCCAGAUUAUUUCCGGAAAAUAUGGAUGUCUGAAAAUUUAAUCCAAUAGACUAUACAGUUAAUAUAAUUGCGAAAGUGAAUCAGAAUACUCCCCGUCUGAAAUCUACCUGAUAUCACUAUUCCAUAACACAUAUGAAUGUCACUAUAUGAAUCCAAAAAUAUAUACAUAUAAUUACACAGGGUUGUUCUCUAUGAGAAGAAUCAUGUCCACGAUAGGGCGUGUGUAGGUUGUGGCUUUUCCAUUAACGAUUACUCGCACUUCUGCUUUUCGGACAUGUUCGUCUGAGCUUUUUAAUGAGUUCACUAUAAUUCCAACGGGCCAUUG